UGCAUGGCCGUCGUCAGCUCGUGUCGUGAGAUGUUUGGUUAAGUCCAUCAACGAGCGCAACCCUUAUAGUUAGUUGGAUUUUUCUAGCUAGACUGCCCCGGUAACGGGGAGGAAGGAGGGGAUGAUGUCAGGUCAGUAUUUCCCUUACAUCCUGGGCUACAAACACGCUACAAUGGCCGGUACAAAGGGCAGCCAACCCGCGAGGGGGAGCAAAUCCCAUCAAAGCCGGUCUCAGUUCGGAUUGGAGGCUGAAACUCGCCUCCBUGAAGUCGGAAUCGCUAGUAACGGUAGGUCAGCACACUACCGUGAAUACGUUCCCGGGUCUUGUACACACCGCCCGUCAAGCCAUGAAAGUCGUCAAUACCUGACGUGCUAGCUAGUCUAGCCCUAAGGUAGGGGUGAUGAUUGGGGUUAAGUCGUAACAAGGUAA
rnacentral:rRNA from 1 species